GAACUGCGAUAAGUAAUGUGAAUUGCAGAAUUCAGUGAAUCAUCGAGUCUUUGAACGCACAUUGCGCCCCCUGGCAUUCCGGGGGGCAUGCCUGUCCGAGCGUCAUUGCUGCCCUUCAAGCCCGGCUUGUGUGUUGGGUCGUCGUCCCCUCCGGGGGACGGGCCCGAAAGCCAGCGGCGGCACCGCGUCCGGUCCUCGAGCGUAUGGGGCUUUGUCACCCGCUCGAUAAGGACCGGCCGGGCGCCAGCCGGCGUCUCCAACCUUUUUUUCUCAGGUUGACCUCGGAUCAGGUAGGGAUACCCGCUGAACUUAAGC
rnacentral:misc_RNA from 1 species